UAAGGUUGUAGAAUAUAGUACAUUUUAUACUGUGGGGAAUCUAUCAGCCUGGUCUGUUAGAGUUAUGAUUUGAUAAUAACAUUAUGAAAAUCAGUUCUUCUUUUUUCUGGAACAGUUGAGAAACUGCAUUCUUCAAGUUUAUCAGAACAGCUUAAUUUAAAAGUGAAACAGACCAUUACUACUGCUGCAUCAAUUAUGAAAAAGAACUUUAACAAGAUAGUUCAGGUAUC
rnacentral:lncRNA from 1 species